GACGAACGCUGGCGGCGUGCUUAACACAUGCCAGUCGAACGGAAAGGCCCUGCUUUUGUGCGGUGCUCGAGUGGCGAACGGGUGAGUAACACGUGAGUAACCUGCCCUUGACUUUGGGAUAACUUCAGGAAACUGGGGCUAAUACCGGAUAGGAGCUCCUGCUGCAUGGUGGGGGUUGGAAAGUUUCGGCGGUUGGGGAUGGACUCGCGGCUUAUCAGCUUGUUGGUGGGGUAGUGGCUUACCAAGGCUUUGACGGGUAGCCGGCCUGAGAGGGUGGCCGGGCACAUUGGGACUGAGAUACGGACCAGAAUCCUACGGGAGGCAGCAGUGGGGAAUAUUGCACAAUGGGCCGAAGUCUGAUGCAGCAACGCCGCGUGCGGGAUGACGGCCUUCGGGUUGUAAACCGCUUUCGCAUGUGACGAAGAGUGAGUGACGGUAAUGGGUAAAGAAGCACCGGCUAACUACGUG
rnacentral:rRNA from 1 species